UACGAAGGGGGCUAGCGUUGCUCGGAAUUACUGGGCGUAAAGGGUGCGUAGGUGGUCAGGUAAGUCUGAUGUGAAAUCUCUGAGCUCAACUCAGAAAUGGCAUUGGAUACUAUCUGGCUAGAGGGUCGGAGGGGGGACUGGAAUUCUUGGUGUAGCAGUGAAAUGCGUAGAUAUCAAGAGGAACACCAGUGGCGAAGGCGAGUCCCUGGACAACACCUGACACUGAGGCACGAAAGCUAGGGGAGCAAACAGG
rnacentral:rRNA from 1 species